GCUGCUGCCGCUAGGAUGGAGGGAGGGCACUAAGGCAAGACCAAGGCUGAGGCUGUGGCCUAUGGGGUGGUGGUAGAGUCAAUGAGGUGCUGAGGCUGGGCCGAUGGGCGGAAGUCACCACUGAUCUGCCAAUGAAACUCACAGGAAAACUGCCCCCUGGGGUUCUGCUGGCAGCCUCUCCACGAAAACAAGAAAAACAAGGCCUGAGCCCCAAGAAAACCCUUCCCUCUUGCAAUGUCUUCCCGUGCCCUUUACUGACAAGGCUUGCCAUUGCGACGGCCGGCAAAGGGGAAAUACUUACAGGGUCCAGCUCCAGUAGCACAAAGAACGGCAGAAGGGUGGAUUUAGAGCCAAGAGGCAAUAAAGUGACAACUGGGGCACGAUGAUAUGUCACAUAGUUGCCUGAAAGCUUGUCACCAUCCUUCAGCGCCUCUCAUCUGGGCUGCAGCUCCUGUUUCCUGGAUCCCCUCUCCUCAUUCAUAAUCUCAUUUCGGCGGAACAGAACCACUUCUUGACAACCACAUCUAAGAGGUUGUGUCGCCAUAAUCAAGAAGAUGCAUAUUGUGACUGCUUCCAGGAGUCUAUCCAUGGUGGUUUCCUUGUCGGCAUUGAGAGCCUCACAAGCCUUGUUACAAAGCUCCCUCAUGUGGUACACCGUGAAAGCCUUUAAAAUGCCCUGUCUGAGGGGCUGGAGAAGAGACUAGUAUUUGGGGGCAUGAAAAGAACUCCUACAUUGGGAUGGGCACUUCCAAGUUCUUCACAGCAAUGAACUGGGGCAUUAUCCAGUAAUAAAACUUUGAAGGCUAAGUUUUCACCCUGAAGAUAGUGUUCAACUUCUAGGAUGAAGCAAUGAAACCAAUCCCAGAAUAUUUUGGGUAUCAUCCAUGCUUUUUUGUCCCACCUCCAAUGGAAAUGAUACACACUUCUGGUUUUCCCCUGCAAGUGCUCAAGAAUUUUGAGCUCUGUGUAUCAAGAGUUUGCAUUUAAAGGUGCCCUUGGCAUUGGUAUACAAUAACAAGCUUGCACACUCUUUGGAUGAAUUAAGGCCAAGGGCAUUUCAAAGGUUCAUAUGCCAAUGACCUCGUAAAAAUAAGCCAGUCCCAUUAGUGUUGAAAAGUAGCUCUUCCAUAUAACCUUUUCCCUGUAUAACACUUCGUAGGUAUUCUUCCAUAGUAUCUUGAUCUGCAAAACUCGCCUCAACUUCAACACUUUUCAUACCACAUUGCCUUAAAAUGUGUAAGCCAGCUAGCUCUCACAUAGCCAAGAACGUUUUAACAUUUUCCUAACCCCGAUUAACCUGUUGUGAGCUGAAAGCUGUUCAGUAUGCUUUAAAAAAAAAAAAUUGGUCAUAAUCUCAUGAAUCCGUAAGUUUAGUCAUUAUUGUAUCUUUUCCUUAGCUGUACCACAAACUAGAGAUGUUACUAUAGCACUCGGGUAGACUGGCAAAUUUCCUCUUCCUUUUUCUAGAUGUACGAUAAUGUUGAUUCAUUAAUACUGAACUUACACCAAGAACAUUAUAACUUCAUGCCUAAAUGAAACUUUUCUAACAGUAUUUUCUCCAUAAGGUACAUCACAGCUUUCUUGCUCUUAGUGACACUAGACAGCACUUCAACACCACACUUGCUGGCCCUUCUAAACAACAAAAAUCAUCAACAGAAAACACAAAAAUGCAAACAACAAAAACAAAACACCCUGACACUAAUUAGACUAAGAAAAGGACACUUGUUUACAGUAUGAGAGCUGAAACAAAAAGGCACAGCAUUGCUUUGUUCUACUUCAACUGGGAACAUGCACAUUGGAUAACUCAAAUUUUUCACCACUCUGCACAUCUACAAAUGCCUGUGAAAGCACUUAAGUAUCGAUUAAGGGGUUACAAAUAAAUUUUGGUGGGUAGGCAAAUUUGAAAUCCAUGAAUGAGGACUGACUGCACAAUUAUCUCUCAGUAUAUGUGGAGGACUGGUUCUAGGACCACCACCAUCCACCAAUGCCCCUACCCCUACUCCUCAUACCAGAAUCUGCAUACACAACUCCCACAGUCAGCCUUUAUAGAACUCACCCAUAUGAAAAGUAUGCUCUCAAACUCGCAUCCUGCAAAUCCUUUAUUUUCCAUCCAAGUUUGGUUGGGGGAAAAAAAAAAAAAAAACAACCCCAUGUGGAAGUAGACAAAUGCAGUUCAAAUCCAUGUUGUUCAAGGGUCAACUAUACUUAAAGCCACUGCUGUGUGACGUCAGGCAAGUCACUCAAUCUCUUAUGCCUCAAUUUCCACCAUUGCAUAAUGGAAAGAAUAACUUAGCAAACAGUAUCUGUUACAUACCAGGCAUUAGGAAAGUUCGCUCUUAACUGGAAUCCCAGAAGAGAGGAUCUAAAGUCAUAGAUGUCCUGGGAUUGCUCAAUGUUGCACUUCUUGCCAUUCUGCAAAUACUACUUUAUGUCAAUUAACUAUGCCACUUGGUGAAAAUCUACACUUGAACCAAACUUGUUUUUUAGAAUGUUUUUUACUUUUUUAGUCAAUAGGCAGGAUACACAGUUAUCUGUGUAUGCUGAAGUAGGACCCAAAAGAAUAAAAAUUAUAAUGACAAAAGCCACCAUCUGUUGAGUAUUUGCUAGAUGCCAGGGACUAUGAAAAGCACCAAAUCUUAUUGCAUACUCCUACCACCACAAAAGGUAGGACUUUUUAUCACUCCCAUUUUACAUAGGAGGAAACUGAGGCUCAGAAGUGAUAUAACCUGGCAACAGGCACUGAGCUAAAAGUUCUGAAAUCAGGAUUCAAGUAAGACUCAUCUGAUGUCAAAGUUUAUGUUCUUUACUAUACAUACUGCCUCUAUGAAGUCUGGAACAAAACAGUUACACCACGUUUAGUAUUCAACAUGAGGUAGGUACUAUAUUCAUCUUGAUUUUACAAAUAAAGAAACUCACAAAAAGAACAGUGAAGUAACUUGCCCAAAAUUAUACAGCUAAGCUCCUAUCCUUUGAAGUUUAUGGGUGGAGAAUUAGAAGAUUCCAAAAGCUUACAAAGAAAAGAUGGGAGAGGACUUUAUAUGACAAAAGGCAACAGCUGCAAUGGCAGCCUUACUUAUCCUUCCCUAUUAAUAAUGCUCCCUCUAUCCCUCUGUCAUAUAGUUUGGUUCAAGUGCUGUAGGAGGAGAAAAAUAUUUAAUAUCGUGCUAAUAGUUGCCUUAUAAAUAUAAAAUAGGGAGUAGUCAUCUUUCAUACCCUCAGCAUGGAUAAAAGUGUCUGGUAUUAAAAUCAGAUAAUUCAAGUGAAUACUUUACGUACUUCCAAAUUAUCUGAUUUUAAAAUGUUAUUUCCAUAAGGGGGGGUAUGGAAAAAGUAUUCUUACUUUUCUAGGAUUCUGUCCAACUAUUAACAUCAAAAACAAACACUGAAUAGAAUAAAUGUAAAAAUACCAAUUUUCAUCUAUAUCAGUGAUUCUCAUGUCUGGUUACAUAUCAGCAUCCUAAAUAACUUUUUUUUGUUGUUGUUAAUGGAGAUGGAGUUUCACUCUUAUUACCCAGGCUGGAGUGCAGUGGCGCGAUCUUGGCUC
rnacentral:lncRNA from 1 species